AGAACACAAUUCCUCUGGACCCAAGACUACACUCUACACAGUAGGGCUGAAGGCACCCCAUUAACUAGACAAGGAAUCAUGAGGAGACGCUGGGGAACUCUGCUGGAAAUCCUGUGUCUCCAGAUUUGCUGGGUGAAAGGGAUGAAUGUGGAGCAGACCCCUUCAGCCCUGAGCCUCCAGGAGGGAGCCAGCUAUACUCUGAAGUGCAAUUUUUCUAGCAGUCCAUACAGAGUGCAGUGGUUCCGACAGCAUCCCGGGGACAGCGGCCUCACCCAGUUGUUUUACAUAACUUCAGGGAUGCAGCAGAGUGGGAGGUUAAACUGCACAGUGAAUACUAAGGAUCGGUCCAGCACCCUCCACAUCACGGCAUCCCAGCUGGAAGACUCAGCCACCUACCUGUGUGCUGUGGAGGCACAGUGCUCUCUGGUGAUCUGCAGCCUGCACCCAAACUGCAGCUGUAGUUUGGGGCUACAGCCCCUCCACCCACUUACCUAG